rnacentral:rRNA from 1 species
CCUACGGGAGGCUGCAGUGAGGAAUAUUGCGCAAUGGGGGCAACCCUGACGCAGCAACGCCGCGUGAGUGAGGAAGGUUUUCGGACCGUAAAGCUCUGUCGAGCGGGAAGAAAUGUAUCGUGGCUAAUAUCCAUGAUAUUUGACGGUACCGCUAAAGGAAGCACCGGCUAACUCCGUGCCAGCAGCCGCGGUAAUACGGGGGGUGCAAGCGUUGUUCGGAAUUAUUGGGCGUAAAGAGCGUGUAGGCGGCUGAAUAAGUCAGAUGUGAAAUCCCUGGGCUUAACCCAGGAAGUGCAUUUGAAACUAUUCAGCUUGAGUAGGGGAGAGGAAAGUGGAAUUCCUGGUGUAGAGGUGAAAUUCGUAGAUAUCAGGAGGAACACCGGUGGCGAAGGCGACUUUCUGGCCCUAUACUGACGCUGAGACGCGAGAGCGUGGGUAGCAAACAGGAUUAGAUACCCUGGUAGUC